CCUACGGGUGGCAGCAGUGAGGAAUUUUGGUCAAUGGGCGCGAGCCUGAACCAGCCAAGCAGCGUGAAGGAUGACUGCUCUACGGGUUGUAAACUUCUUUUAUAAAGGAAUAAAGUGAGGCAAGUGUGCCUUUUUGCAUGUACUUUAUGAAUAAGGACCGGCUAACUCCGUGCCAGCAGCCGCGGUAAUACGGAGGAUCCGAGCGUUAUCCGGAUUUAUUGGGUUUAAGGGGAGCGUAGAUGGGUUGUUAAGUCAGUUGUGAAAGUUUGCGGCUCAACCGUAAAAUUGCAAUUGAAACUGGCAGUCUUGAGUGCAGUUGAGGUAGGCGGAAUUCGUGGUGUAGCGGUGAAAUGCUUAGAUAUCAGGAGGAACUCCGAUGGCGAAGGCAGCUUACUAAACUGCCACUGACAUUGAUGCUCGAAAGUGUGGGUAUCAAACAGGAUUAGAUACCCUAGUAGUC
rnacentral:rRNA from 1 species